UACGUAGGGACCGAGCGUUGUCCGGAUUCAUUGGGCGUAAAGAGCUCGUAGGCGGCUGUUCAAGUCGAACGUGAAAACUCGGAGCUCAACUCCGAGCCUGCGUUCGAUACUGGACGGCUAGAGUCUGGUAGGGGGAUCUGGAAGUUCCUGGUGUAGCGGUGAAAUGCGCAGAUAUCAGGAGGAACACCGAUGGCGAAGGCAGGUCUCUGGGCUGUAACUGACGCUGAGGAGCGAAAGCAUGGGGGAGCGAACAGG
rnacentral:rRNA from 1 species